rnacentral:lncRNA from 1 species
AAACGCUGUUCCUAGGUAUCACUGACCUAAUGCAUUUCCCAUUCUGAAAUCAAGCAGAAGAAAAAUGUUAUAGAAAAACAGCAGGUAAUGGAAAAUCCACAGAACAGGUUCCCCUCUCCGCCUCCCACUUCCCCUACAUGCUGCCCUAAGCUUUCUGCACAGGGCAGACAGUACUAGUAUGUAAUUAGACAGAACAGGUAAAUUGGGGACAAGAUGUGGUAAAAUAGAUUUUGGUGCCAGUGACUUAUUAAACAGAGGUUAAAGGGGGCGUGAUGAAGAGACACAGUGAUUGACUGGCUAGAUAAAAGCUUGGAACAGAUGUAAUAUGUGGCCUGAGAAGUUAAUAAAAAUAGCUUCAUCUUUACAGAUUUUGUUGUGUCAGAAAAUGAUAACUAAGGAAAGGAGAAGAAACAUGUGCCAGGUCCCAGUAAUAAUGAAAAACAAGAAAAAAAUCAGAUAUUGGGUUCUCUCCCAGAUGAACAGCAUUGACCACUGUGAAUUCAGAGAGCUCCCACAAGGUUAAACUUGUGAUUUAUUUUUAUAUUGGGGGUGUCAUUUAGAUAAUAUAUAAGGAAGAAGCGUACCAUAUUGACAAGCUGUGCUGUUGCUUUAAAGCUUAAGGUGUUGCUGAUUUGCAGCUUGCUGGGCAAAGAGAGUCUACGGUUUUGUUCUUCAUUUCAAUCAUGAUUACAGCAAGGCAAUGUGGAAUCCGACAUGCCCACUUGGGACUGCUGACUUGGGAAAAAGAUCCAAAGGUGUUUUGGGCCCAAGCCCUCAGCUGUAGACCAGAGCUGCUCACAGGUGGCACUCAAGUGUGGACCUGCCACAUCGCUCCCCAAACCAGAGUCUCCUCCUUUGGGUUUUGGGGGGCCCCCGCUCCCCAGCCUCGUGGGGGAGCCCCUCCCUGGCAGUGGGGCCUCCCCCCAGGAAACGCCGAUGACCAGCCACCCUCCAGCUCGCCCUCGCCAGCCCUCCUGACCCACCGCUGGCAGGAGGCACCGCCAAUUCCAUUUGUUAAACAGUUUUUUUUUUUUUUAAGUGUAAAUGAUAAUAAUAAAAUUCCACGAGUCUUUCUUUUUUUUUCUCUUUUCUCUCCCCUCAGGAUAAAUUUUAUGCGGCUGGCAGUUAAAAUAAGCGAUUACCCCAUAAAUACCAUCUUAAUAGCCUCGUCAACGCUACGGCCUCCGCUGUCCUGAGAUUUUUAUCUCAGGAAAGGGGGAGGGAGGGAGAGAGAAAACCACAACCCUUUAGAGCGCUGCGGCGGCGGCUGCCGCCGCUCGUUACUCGCUGCGUAGCUGGGGGGGCGGAGGGCUCCCCCCUUCCCCCGGGGGCAGCCGCGGGGCCGCCCCCUCCCCCGGCGUGGCCGUUGGCGUGG